AGGCGCAGCUGCAAAAACAAGGAUGGACCCAGUAAAGUUACAGAAGGGUCACUGCCAGGAAAGACAACAUCAUAUUCUGUUGGAAAGUCUCACAAAAUGCUUUUCUUGGAAUGUAUCGAGAACUCAGUGUCUCCAUGUUCAUGACUUGAAAAGAAAAAGCAUGUAAAUGAAUCUACAGCCAUUUCAGGGAAUACAGUUGUAAGUAAUGAUUUAAUCAAUACAUCUUUUGUUUAAUAUUGGAAAAGUGCCAAGUAAUAUGAAUUUUUUUUUUUUCCAGUGUUCUAACGGAAGUUUGUCUGUGGUUGCUUUGGACCAAGGCAGAGUGCUCUAAAGGUGGCUGUGCUGUACCCAGUACUGUGUCUUCUGAUGGGAGGUUCUGAAGCAACACUGUAACUGCUGAAUGCUUCUGGCUAGUUCUUUCCGCAGUAAAAGGCUCUGCAGACAUCUCCCGUGGCCCCUGGUCAUCACACAGGAGAGUGACUACCAUUACCUCAGCACCUUCACUGUCUCCAUCCACUGUGCCUGCUCACUCUCCCAGGGGUCCACCCGGAUCCAGUCGGAUGUCUGCAGGGCCAGUC